AGGGGGCGCAAACGUUGCUCGGAAUCACUGGGCGUAAAGCGUACGCAGGCGGGUCGAUAAGUCCGUUGUGAAAUCCCAGGGCUCAACCCUGGAACUGCAGUGGAGAUUGUCGAUCUUGAGUACGGGAGAGGGGAGCGGAAUUCCUGGUGUAGAGGUGAAAUUCGUAGAUAUCAGGAGGAACACCGGUGGCGAAAGCGGCUCCCUGGCCCGAUACUGACGCUCAUGUACGAAAGCGUGGGGAGCAAACAGGAUUAGAUACCCUGGUAGUCCACGCUGUAAACGAUGAGUGCUAGUUGCUGGAACACCUUCUUUGUUUCGGUGGCGUAGCUAACGCGUUAAGCACUCCGCCUGGGAAGUACGGUCGCAAGACUA
rnacentral:rRNA from 1 species